GACAGACAUGGACACAGACAGACAGACAGACAGACAGACAGUUUGAUAGAUAGAGAUGGACACAGACAGACAGACAGAGACAGUUUGAUAGAUAGAGAUGGACACAGACAGACAGACAGACAGACAGUUUGAUAGAUAGAGAUGGACACAGACAGACAGACAGACAGACAGUUUGAUAGAUAGAGAUGGACACAGACAGACAGACAGACAGACAACCAUUUGAUAGAUAGAGAUGGACACAGACAGACAGACAGUUUGAUAGAUAGAGAUGGACACAGACAGACAGACAGUUUGAUAGAUAGAGAUGGACACAGACAGACAGACAGUUUGAUAGAUAGAGAUGGACACAGACAGACAGACAGUCUGAUAGAUAGAUGAAUGUAAUACUAUAAUAUAUUCAUUAGUGUUUAGACAGACGUGUUGAUCACAUGACCAACAGCAAUAAUUUUUUUUUUUUUUUUUACAGAUAAAAGCAGGAGGUCAUGUGACACACAGCUAACACAGUUUGUAGUUAGUGAGGUAGUGUUAGAAACUUUAACACCCCCCCCGGUCUCCUGAGGUGGCGCUGUUAAAGUCGGGCUUCCCAAAACUCACGAGCUUUAUUUCUUUCUCUCUCCGUUUCCGACAGUCUGCCCUUCUGCAGAGUACUGACUUUAACGCAUAAAUAAACGGAUGAACGGCACCGCGGCUCUGUAAUGCUAUAAUACUAUAAUACUGUAAUACUGUAAUGUUGUGAUGUUGGAAUGUUCCUGCAGAUGAAAAAGAGGUCUGGAGGUGGAAUGUGUUUUCUUUCCCCCCGAUGUUGUGCUAAAUGUUGUGUGUUUCUAUUUAUUAAUGUUAUCAGCCUGAAUCUUUGCAUUAAACACUCAGUAAAAUGA
ensembl:lncRNA